AUUGGAGAUAGCGAGUGAAGUUUGUAUGUGCGCGCGCCAGCCCGAGCCAAAGCAAAUCAAAUCAUCCCCAUCCGAUCGCGGUGGAGGAAAGCAGCCCGGGUUUUUACUUCCCUAUCCUGACACGAGUCCCACUCCAGGAAUGAGCAGCCCUGAUGCUGGUUACGCCAGUGACGACCAGACUCAGAGUAGGUGCCAUAUGGCGGGAAUGCUGCCGGCGAUGGGACCCUGCCAGUGGGCUGAAUCCAUGAGUUCCCUCGGGGAUGCCAAGGUUGGCAGCGCCGCCGAUCAGGCGAACAAUGCCAACCGAUCCAAGUCUGAAAACCGCAUCCGUCGGCCCAUGAACGCCUUCAUGGUCUGGGCAAAGGACGAACGCAAGAGGCUCGCUCAACAAAACCCGGACCUGCACAACGCCGAGCUGAGCAAGAUGCUGGGUAAAUCAUGGAGAGGGCUUUCCUUAGCUGAGAAACGUCCCUUUGUGGAAGAGGCAGAAAGGCUUCGGGUCCAGCACAUGAAGGAACAUCCCAACUACAAAUACCGGCCCCGGCGGAGAAAGCAGAUCAAGAGAAUUAAGCGGGUGGACACGGGUCUCCUGAUGCACAGCAUGUCCGAGCAACAGCUGGGCAAUGAGGGGCGGGUAUGUAACCAGAAUAUUAACCUCACGUACCACGACACCGGCUACUGUCUCCAAAACCAGAUUCCUCCGCUCAGCCAUUACAGGGAAGCGCAGACCAUGGCAGCCAGUGUGGACAGUUUCGGCUUGCCAACCCCGGAGACCUCUCCUUUGGAUGUGCUAGAAGCAAGUUCCGUAUUUUUCCCUCCGCAUUUACAGGAAGAUUGCCAAAUGAUGCCUUACGGGAACAGUCCCGGUUACCACCACCACCACCAGCAGCAACAGCAGCAGCACCAUUCCGAGUAUUCCGCGCAGGAAACCCAGAUAGCCAUGUUCCGAAGGCACCGAGCUGAGCUGGGCCUUCCCCAGAGUGAUCAGAUGGGACACGACAGUGGUUUCCAUGGGGUGCUCAGCUCUUGCCACAACGUGGUAGCAAUGUACUACAACCAGAUGUGCUCGUCAAACAGCCAGCGGCCCCAGCAUGUGCACGCAGGACAACUCUCGCCACCACCUGACGCGCACCAUGUGGAUAACCUUGAGCACCUCAGCCAGGCAGACCUGCUAGCGGAUGUAGAUCGCAAUGAGUUCGAGCAAUACCUCACGUCGGUUUCUCGACCUGACCUGGCCGGACUUGCCUAUAAUGCACCAGAAGCAAAUCCAAAUGGAUUGACUUCUGCAGAGAGUAAUCUGAUCUCGUCUGUCCUUUCGGACGCCAGUAGUGCCAUGUAUUACUCCAAUUUCCCCUCGGCAUAGGGGACUACCUUUUUUUAAAAAAAAGACUAUAGGCAAAAAAAUAUCGACAGUAUUAAAAACCAAAAAUGCUUUUCUUAAAUUGUAGUUGUCCUCAGGGUGUUUUGAAAAUGUUGCCUGAUAUUUAAAGGUUGUAUAUUUAAAAUAUCUUUGCUUUCAUUUUAUGCUUCAGAUCAAUUCUACGGGGGUUGGGAGGGGGCUGCUGUUUUUGUGUCUUUCAGAAUACAAUGAUCGAAAAACAUUGUACUUUUUUAUCUCUUGGAAUUUUAUUUUUAAUAGGGAAAUUUGUAGAACCAAGUGUCUUCCACAAGCAGCGGCCCGCAGUUUGUACUGGAUAAGAAUUGCUUCAGCAAUCAUUAUGAAAUUCUCAGGAGGAGCAAGUCAACGCCGAUCAUCUCUCGAUAACCAUUAGUCCCGAUUGUUGACCUGCAUUUUAACGCUAUAUGAAAGAAUCAUGAGCAGAGAUCCUUGAAAUAGGCGGUUGUAGGCAGAGUAACAUUGACCUCUUCUACAAUCCCGCCCCCAGCCCGGCCUGGCGCGAGGGUCAGAUGGUCACAUUUACUGUUUAAAGCUCCCCUUUUCUGCUUUUCUCAGUUUGUCAAUAAAAACGUUUGCUGCAUAACC